AAUAGAUACCCAGGUAGUCCACGCCGUAAACGAUGAGUGCUAAGUGUUAGAGGGUUUCCGCCCUUUAGUGCUGCAGCUAGCGCAUUAAGCACUCCGCCUGGGGAGUACGGUCGCAAGACUGAAACUCAAAGGAAUUGACGGGGGCCCGCACAAGCGGUGGAGCAUGUGGUUUAAUUCGAAGCAACGCGAAGAACCUUACCAGGUCUUGACAUCCCACUGACCGGUAUAGAGAUAUACCUUUCCCUUCGGGGACAGUGGUGACAGGUGGUGCAUGGUUGUCGUCAGCUCGUGUCGUGAGAUGUUGGGUUAAGUCCCGCAACGAGCGCAACCCUUGAUCUUAGUUGCCAGCAUUUAGUUGGGCACUCUAAGGUGACUGCCGGUGACAAACCGGAGGAAGGUGGGGAUGACGUCAAAUCAUCAUGCCCCUUAUGACCUGGGCUACACACGUGCUACAAUGGAUGGUACAAAGGGCUGCAAGACUGCGAAGUCAAGCCAAUCCCAUAAACCAUUCUCAGUUCGGAUUGCA
rnacentral:rRNA from 1 species